GAGCGAGCGGGCGGCCGGGGUUGGCAACACCGGCGGCGACGCGAGCGGGAGCGGGGAAGAAAAUGGCCGAAGUGUCCAUGUGAUGGAGUCCAGCGUCUAGUCCUAGAAGGUUAACAUGGAGGAGCUACUUUCCUUAAAGUGGAACAAUCAUCGUUCCACGUUUCUUCACAUUUUGGGUGUGCUCAGGGACAAGCAAGCGUAUACGGAUGUCACUCUGGCAUGUGAUGGCAAAUUCUACAGUGUGCACAAGUUGGUGCUUUCAACGUGUAGUGAUUACUUCUGUGCCAUGUUUGACAAGACUGCUUGCAAGAGCCCUGUUAUAGUGUUAAAAGAUAUAAAAAGUGAGGACCUAGAGGCCUUGCUAGAUUAUAUGUACCUUGGUGAAGUGAAUGUGCGACAAAGUGACUUAGCUUCUUUAAUUAAGGCAGCAGAAAAUUUGAGAAUUAAAGGCCUUGCAGUACCUGACGAUGAACCUCCUAAGAAAGGUGCCAUGUCGGUGCCAUCUCGGUCUGACCCUUCCAGACGAGAUGGUGGCAAUGGAAGCCCACCAUCGAAAAGAAAACGCAGAGAUGAAGGUGAAGAUGGUAGGGAGGAUGUUAGACCGCCCCCUCCACCACAGAGUGGUCUGCACACACCACCACCACCACCUCCAAGACCAAAGAGCCCUGGUAGCCAACGGUUAAGCCCUUCCCCUCUUAGAACAUCUCAGGAGUCUCAUGUUACUGACGAUCGUGAUAACCGUCCCCACUCUUCGCCGGCGGAGUCUCCUGUUGCUUCUCAUAUACCAUCUCAUCAGUCCUCACAACAAUUGACACAUCAAUCAUCGUCUCAACCAUCUAUUUCAUCAUCACAGCCCUUACCUGAACAACAGCAACAACAAUCUAAUCAAUAUAGAGGGGAAGAAACACCCACUUUUGUUAAAGUAGAAAUGGAGGAAGAUGAUACAGGAGAUGUCAACCGUGAUUCAUAUAACAUGAGUGGAGAUGGUUACAAAGAGGAAGAUAGUGGAGGUGACCUAGGAGGGGACUUAAGUAAUGAUCUACCCGAGUUCUUACAACAAGCUGCCUCUAGUGCCCUAGCAGGUACUUCUGCCUCAUACCAUCACGCCUUCGCUGGACCCUCUGGCUUUCAGCCGGAUGUGUCUGGUUGGCAAGGGGACAGUCAGUCCCUGCCAGGAAGCUUCAGCGGGCUAGGCUUUCAGCCUUCCACUCAGGACAAUCCACCAGGGGGGCGCAGGUUUGAGGUGGGACUGCCGAUGGCGUUGUUGGCUGUUACCGCUGGGUCUGCAGCUCAUACUCUUCCAUCUGGUGCCCAUGGAGUACCAGGAGAGCAACUAGCAUGCAGUGUUUGUGGCCGAGGUUUCCAUGGACGCAAUCGACGCCAGGAUCUUGAACGUCAUGUGCUCACUCAUACAGGAGAAAAGCCUUAUCAGUGUCCACACUGUCCACAUCGCACUAACAGGAUUGGCAAUUUGAAAAGCCACAUAUUUACUAUUCACCGUGAGCUGGUCUCUAACACUGCUCGUCCAAUAUAUAAUCUGAAGAACUCGCAUCCUGCACAUCUAGAGAGCAACACCCACGCCUCUCAUCCAACCUCAGCCAUUGAAGUUGAAGUUGAUAAUUCCACAAAACAAUCAUCAUGACGUUGACUGAUUUAUUAAAAGCAAAAUAGUCACAUCUUGCAAACUAAUAGAUUAAGGGGCGGAGUGGGUCCCUGCCACGGGCUGAUGAAGGUGUUGGUGUGCAAUGCCCUGUAUGCGGCCGGUUCAUCUCGGGUGUGAAUCGCAAGCAGAACUUGGAGCGCCACAUGCUGACCCACUCUGGGCAGCGCCCUUU
rnacentral:misc_RNA from 1 species